UACGAAGGGGGCUAGCGUUGUUCGGAAUUACUGGGCGUAAAGCGAACGUAGGCGGUGUUCCAUGUCAGAGGUGAAAGCCUGGGGCUCAACUCCAGAAUUGCCUUUGAAACGGGGACGCUUGAGUCCGAGAGAGGAUGGCGGAAUUCCUAGUGUAGAGGUGAAAUUCGUAGAUAUUAGGAAGAACACCGGUGGCGAAGGCGGCCAUCUGGCUCGGUACUGACGCUCAGGUUCGAAAGCGUGGGGAGCAAACAGG
rnacentral:rRNA from 2 species